ACAGGAUGAAUCACCAUUUGUAAAAGACUAAUUCAAACAUAUUCAGUACACUAAUAACAUAGGAAACAUCCAUUUAAGAUCUCACCUAAAAGCUAACGCCAACUCAUUUGUGAUGUCUUUUCUUUGCUAUUUGCCAAUAGUAGCAGCAACUUAAUCAUCAAAAUAUAAGACCAAGUUUAGAAAAUCCAACAAAGAUAAUUCAUCAUCAUAAAAACCAUAAUUUCCUUGCAUGAAUAGGCCAUUUAGAUGAUUAUCUGCC
rnacentral:lncRNA from 1 species